CCUACGGGAGGCAGCAGUAAGGAAUAUUGGUCAAUGGCCGAAAGGCUGAUCCAGCCAUGCCGCGUGUGUGAAGAAGGUCUUCGGAUUGUAAAGCACUUUAAGUUGGGAGGAAGGGCAGUAAAUUAAUACUUUGCUGUUUUGACGUUACCGACAGAAUAAGCACCGGCUAACUCUGUGCCGGCAGCCGCGGUAAUACAGAGGGUGUAAGCGUUAAUCGGAAUUACUGGGCGUAAAGCGCGCGUAGGUGGUUCGUUAAGUUGGAGGUGAAAUCCCCGGGCUCAACCUGGGAACUGCAUUCAAAACUGACGAGCUAGAGUAUGGUAGAGGGUGGUGAAAUUUCCUGUGUAGCGGUGAAAUGCGUAGAUAUAGGAAGGAACACCAGUGGCGAGG
rnacentral:rRNA from 1 species